UAUUUGGCACUGCAUCAAUUUAUCACAAGGAAUGAUCAAUUUUUACAGUUAUGGCAUGUCAAACUGUAAAAAUGUCAUGUGGUGGAACCGUCCGAGGUUGAAUUUCAACAGAAAAAGUGUUGUGAAAUAUUGUAACCCCAAAGAAAACUGCAAAUAUUUAACUAUGUGAUUAUAUUAUGAAAUAUUGCCCAAAUAUUGAGUUUAUCAGGCUAAAACCCAGAUGCAGAUGCAGACACAGGGGUCUCAUAGUUUAUUACAGUACAAGGGGCAGGCAAAAGGUAAGUCAAGGCAGGCAAAGGGUCAUAAUCCAAAUCAGAUUGUAGACAGGUACAGGACAGCAGGCAAUCAGUAGGUGCAGGCAAAGAGUCAUAAUCCAAAUCAGAUUGUAGACAGGUACAGGACAGAGUCAUAAUCCAAAUCAGAUUGUAGACAGGUACAGGACAGAGUCAUAAUCCAAAUCAGAUUGUAGACAGGUACAGGACAGAGUCAUAAUCCAAAUCAGAUUGUAGACAGGUACAGGACAGAGUCAUAAUCCAAAUCAGAUUGUAGACAGGUACAGGACAGAGUCAUAAUCCAAAUCAGAUUGUAGACAGGUACAGGACAGAGUCAUAAUCCAAAUCAGAUUGUAGACAGGUACAGGACAGAGUCAUAAUCCAAAUCAGAUUGUAGACAGGUACAGGACAGAGUCAUAAUCCAAAUCAGAUUGUAGACAGGUACAGGACAGAGUCAUAAUCCAAAUCAGAUUGUAGACAGGUACAGGACAGCAGGCAAUCAGUAGGUGCAGGCAAAGAGUCAUAAUCCAAAUCAGAUUGUAGACAGGUACAGGACAGAGUCAUAAUCCAAAUCAGAUUGUAGACAGGUACAGGACAGAGUCAUAAUCCAAAUCAGAUUGUAGACAGGUACAGGACAGAGUCAUAAUCCAAAUCAGAUUGUAGACAGGUACAGGACAGCAGGCAAUCAGUAGGUGCAGGCAAAGAGUCAUAAUCCAAAUCAGAUUGUAGACAGGUACAGGACAGAGUCAUAAUCCAAAUCAGAUUGUAGACAGGUACAGGACAGAGUCAUAAUCCAAAUCAGAUUGUAGACAGGUACAGGACAGAGUCAUAAUCCAAAUCAGAUUGUAGACAGGUACAGGACAGAGUCAUAAUCCAAAUCAGAUUGUAGACAGGUACAGGACAGAGUCAUAAUCCAAAUCAGAUUGUAGACAGGUACAGGACAGAGUCAUAAUCCAAAUCAGAUUGUAGACAGGUACAGGACAGAGUCACAAUCCAAAUCAGAUUGUAGACAGGUACAGGACAGAAGGCAAUCAGUAGGUGCAGGCAAAGAGUCAUAAUCCAAAUCAGAGUCAGGCAGGUACCAGAUGGCAGGCAGGAUCAAGGUUAGGGGAACAGGCAAAAAGGUCAGAACUAGGAAGAAUAAGAAAAACAAAAACUAGAGCACAGGAAUCACGGCAACACGCUGGUAGGACUUGACGGGACAAG